rnacentral:lncRNA from 1 species
GGCCAGGGUAGUCCUAGUGAGGAGUCACAGGACUAAUUGAGUUGAGCACGAUUCGGAUGAUCUCAUCAGGGUUGACAGUUUAACCCUGAGUCAUCCUAAACACAGGAGUCAAAAGAGAUGAAUUAUACGGUAACCAUAUUCACGUAGGUUCUGAAUGUUGCGAUUGCGACUAUUCAAUCUAUCCGAUCAUCGGGUACCAUUGCUAGAUGGUUACUUCGAUUAGUAUAGGAAUUGGUUCCUGUGCUACCGGCUUAGGUUCGAACCUGCGGGGUCACACACAUUAGAGGUUUCUUUCUGAUCUGAUGGCUGAUUAUGAGU